CUAGAAGUAGAUUAAAUAAAUAUAAAACAAAAAUCUGGGAGACAUAGACUUUACUCUGAAAAAAAUAAAAAAUAAAAAUAGUGAAAAAAAAAGCAUAAAAAAAAUAAAAUAUAAACAAAUAUCUAUUACUUUUAAAAUAAAUGAAUCAUAAACAAAAUUAACCUCAUUUGUUUUAAAAUAAAAUAUAAACAAAUAUCAAUUACUUUUCUCCUACUUAAUGAUUGAAUUUUUCUAAAAUACCUUUUUUUUUUGUAUUUCUAAUGAACCAAUUUAUUAUGUAUCAAGUAUAAUUCUUAAUUUCUUUUAUUAAAAUUGUAUAAAUUAAAUAUGAUAAAUAAUUUUUUUAAUAUAUAUAUAUAUAAUUUAUUUAAUUUAUAUUUAUAUUUUAUUAUAAAACCAAAAGAAGAGUGAGAAAGCAAAGGACAUGUAGAUGAAGCUAGGUGCAUAUAUAAAUGGGAACAGCAACAAAUUAAACCAGAAUAAGUAAAGGGACAUGUGCCCCCACCAAGACAAUGUAGGUGACAUGAUAUAUGAGGGAAAAAAUAGCAUAUAUUUGCAAUUUUAGGAGCAAGCAUGCUUAGGUAUCACAGAUAUGUAAAGUUGAUGCAUGGUUCUCUCUUUUAUUUUUUAUUUUCUUAAAGAUUUGCUUUUUACUGUUUUGGUUCAUAUGAAACUACAGCCAAUUUUAAUGUUCUCUUGUUCUAUGUGAGUUUUUUUUAUGUAUUGUCACACCAAUAUGCUUCCCUUUUUAUAUAUAUGUUUGGUUGGUUGUUGGUUAAUUAAUUAUGGAAACUUACAAGUCAGAGAAUCAAAUAAUAUACGUUACAAGGGUAUACCUCUUAGCUAAUAUGCUUACACUUGAAGCUUGAUAUAUUGAGAGAUAAUUGAAAGGGUAAAAUGGGAUUUUAAUUUCUUUACAUAAAAAUAUAUACUCUCACUAUAAGGGUUGAUCAUUAUCCAAU
rnacentral:lncRNA from 1 species